NCGCUCACUUUGGAGCACAUAUCCUAAAAUUGGAACAAUACAGAGAAGAUUAGCAUGCGUGGCCCCUGUGCGAGAAUGACAUGUAAAUUCAUGAAGCGUUCCAUAUUUUA
ensembl:snRNA U6 U6 spliceosomal RNA